rfam:Shewanella violacea DSS12 DNA, complete genome.
CAGAGAGUUAUUAAAUGCAGCAUCAAGUACAAGUAAAACAUCCACUACUAAAACCGUGUUUUGUAGCUAGACGUUUCCCUUUUAUUUUAGCGUAACAUGAUAUAAUUCAAUAAAUUAACACAUUGUUAAUAUUGAACUUUUUUUAAAUUAAAUAAAUAAGGGACAUCACAUGUCUGAUUCAAAUACUGGUACUGUAAAAUGGUUUAACGAAGAUAAAGGAUUCGGUUUCCUUACUCAAGAUAAUGGUGGCGCUGACGUAUUCGUACAUUUUCGUGCUAUCGCAUCAGAAGGUUUCAAAACUCUUGAUGAAGGUCAAAAAGUGACUUUCGAAGUAGAGCAAGGCCCAAAAGGUCUGCAAGCAAGCAACGUUAUCGCUCUUUAAUGAAGCGCUAAUAACGCAAGCUGAUAUUAAAAAAAGAAGGUCGCUAACGCGGCCUUUUUUGUG